rnacentral:rRNA from 1 species
AUUGAACGCUGGCGGCAGGCCUAACACAUGCAAGUCGAACGGUAACAGGAAGAAGCUUGCUUCUUUGCUGACGAGUGGCGGACGGGUGAGUAAUGUCUGGGAAACUGCCUGAUGGAGGGGGAUAACUACUGGAAACGGUAGCUAAUACCGCAUAAUGUCGCAAGACCAAAGAGGGGGACCUUCGGGCCUCUUGCCAUCGGAUGUGCCCAGAUGGGAUUAGCUAGUAGGUGGGGUAACGGCUCACCUAGGCGACGAUCCCUAGCUGGUCUGAGAGGAUGACCAGCCACACUGGAACUGAGACACGGUCCAGACUCCUACGGGAGGCAGCAGUGGGGAAUAUUGCACAAUGGGCGCAAGCCUGAUGCAGCUAUGCCGCGUGUAUGAAGAAGGCCUUCGGGUUGUAAAGUACUUUCAGCUGGGAGGAAGGGAGUAAAGUUAAUACCUUUGCUCAUUGACGUUACCCGCAGAAGAAGCACCGGCUAACUCCGUG